rnacentral:rRNA from 1 species
UUUUCUUUUCUUUUUUCUUCUCUCCUGGAUAUAUAAUUUAUAGUUCAGCGGCGCCNCCCCNCCCCCCCGCGGAGAGGNAACCCCAAAAAAAAAAAAAGGGGGNGGGGGGGGGGGCCCGUCCGCGCCCCCCCAUAGAAAAGGGGGGCACAAUCCCCUCUAGACGGUGGAGUNCCCGGGGGGGGCCUCUUCCCUUUUUGGUGCCCUCUCCCCCCCGAGGGGGGGGGGGCCCCCCCCAACACACCCCGGCGGUUUGGCACCAAUGAAUCUUUGGGCAGGCCUGCCUUUCCGGAAUUAACGAAGGGCCCAUGUGUUUCAAAAAGCUCCCGGGAUUCCGUGAUUUUUUGCCAUUUCACCCUUCAGUUUUCGCCAUUUCGCUGCUUUCUUUCAUAGAUGCCGACCCCCAAAAGAUUCCUUUGUGAAAAGUGUUAAACUCAAUUUUCUGAAAGGGUCUUCACCGUCCGAAAUUUAGGCAAGGUCUAUCGGCGGUUCGCGGGCGCGGGCCCCGCCCGAGGCAACAAUAGGUUCGGGCAACACCGGGUGGAGGUUGGCCCCCGAGGGGCCCGCACUCGGUACUUUCGCUAAUGNGUACCUGCGGAAGGAUCAUUACCGAGUGCGGGCCCCUCGGGGCCCAACCUUCCCCCCCCGUGUUGCCCGAACCUAUGUUGCCUCGGCGGGCCCCGCGCCCGCCGACCGGCCCCCCUGAACGCUGUCUGAAGUUGCAGUCUGAGACCUAUAACGAAAUUAGUUAAAACUUUCAACAACGGAUCUCUUGGUUCCGGCAUCGAUGAAGAACGCAGCGAAAUGCGAUAACUAAUGUGAAUUGCAGAAUUCAGUGAAUCAUCGAGUCUUUGAACGCACAUUGCGCCCUCUGGUAUUCCGGAGGGCAUGCCUGUCCGAGCGUCAUUGCUGCCCUCAAGCCCGGCUUGUGUGUUGGGCCCCGUCCCCCCCGCCGGGGGGACGGGCCCGAAAGGCAGCGGCGGCACCGCGUCCGGUCCUCGAGCGUAUGGGGCUUCGUCACCCGCUCUAGUAGGCCCGGCCGGCGCCAGCCGACCCCCAACCUUUAAUUUCUCAGGUGACCUCGGAUCAGGUAGGGAACCCAAGU